AUCAUCAAGGUAGAAUGGAAGUAUCAUGAUAUGUGUGCUUCAUGUUUAGGUAUCCAUAUGUGUUUACAUGGUUAUUUCUACAUAUGUAUGUGCUUACUUGUUUCUUUAUAAGUUGAGAUAUCCACUGAGCUUUAUUUGCUUAGCGAGUUACUUGUUUAACUCGUAGGUUUCAGGACUGGACCAUAGAGAGUCAGCUUACAACUGCUACAGUUCAUCUUUGGAAGACCCAGUCUUCAGGGUAGCUACUCAUUUUAAUGCUUUAGUUCUGUAUAUACUUAUCAUGGCAUGUACAGGGCACAUAGUUGGGCC
rnacentral:lncRNA from 1 species